CACACACACACACACACAUUUGCAGAGGAUCAAAGGGAGUUGGAGCCCUGCACAGCAGCCCUCCUGCUCCUGCCCUUGGCUAAAUGGACGACCAAACAUUCCAGGCUGUCCAGCCCAGUAAUAUCUGGCCUGCAGCCUAAUGAAGAUGGACUGUGUUUAUAAUUCUCAUGUUUGCUCUGAUCACUAACAUAAUCCUUUCUAUACACAAAACAUGGAGACAGGAAACACUCUUUGUUUCUUCGUGUUUAGUCAAAGUGCAGAAGAAGAAAAGAAGAAUAAGAGGCAUCACAUGAUCUCAAACAAAGGAGAAGGCACCAUGGGAUGUUUUUCUGCCUGCUUGAGACUUUGACACCUGCCUCGCUGCAGCAAAUUGGAAUGGCUCACUCUCAAAUGAGAUUUCUGCCCGCCGCAUGGGGAGAGAAAAAAAGGUCACCCAUUACAACUAUUCUACAUGAUUCACAGAGUUAUCACAUCUCUUCUCGCCUACCUUCCCUUUAAUUAGCUUCGGGGACCUGGGUGAGGUGUAGGUGCAUGUUAGUGGGUCUGUCUGUGUGUGUUUGUGCGCGUGUCUGAUAUACACAGAGGCUCUAUUUCUCUCUUGCUUUCUCUCGCUCCAUCUGUGUUUGCACCUAAAUUAAAAUCCCAUGUUGCUUUUCA